rnacentral:rRNA from 1 species
UACGUAGGGACCAAGCGUUGUUCGGAUUUACUGGGCGUAAAGGGCGCGUAGGCGGCGUGGUAAGUCACUUGUGAAAUCUCUGAGCUUAACUCAGAACGGCCAAGUGAUACUGCUGUGCUAGAGUGCAGAAGGGGCAAUCGGAAUUCUUGGUGUAGCGGUGAAAUGCGUAGAUAUCAAGAGGAACACCUGAGGUGAAGACGGGUUGCUGGGCUGACACUGACGCUGAGGCGCGAAAGCUCGGGGGAGCGAACGGG